rnacentral:rRNA from 1 species
ACGCAAUAGAUACCCGGGUAGUCCACGCCCUAAACGAUGUCUACUAGUUGUCGGGUCUUAAUUGACUUGGUAAACGCAGCUAAACGCGUGAAGUAGACCGCCUGGGGAGUACGGUCGCAAGAUUAAAACUCAAAGGAAUUGACGGGGACCCGCACAAGCGGUGGAUGAUGUGGAUUAAUUCGAUGCAACGCGAAAAACCUUACCUACCCUUGACAUGGAUGGAANCUGAGAGAUUGGGGAGUGCUCGAAAGAGAACCAUUACACAGGUGCUGCAUGGCUGUCGUCAGCUCGUGUCGUGAGAUGUUGGGUUAAGUCCCGCAACGAGCGCAACCCUUGUCAUUAGUUGCUACGAAAGGGCACUCUAAUGAGACUGCCGGUGACAAACCGGAGGAAGGUGGGGAGUGACGUCAAGUCCUCAUGGCCCUUA